rnacentral:rRNA from 1 species
UAAGGCUAAAUAUUGGCGAGAGACCGAUAGCGAACAAGUACCGUGAGGGAAAGAUGAAAAGAACUUUGAAAAGAGAGUUAAACAGUACGUGAAAUUGUUGAAAGGGAAACGAUUGAAGUCAGUCAUACCAACGGGAAAUCAACCUUUUGAGCUCGGUCUCGUGGGUUUUGAAGAGUUUCAAAGCCUUCGGAUUCGCGGGAUUGGGAUCACUUGGUGUACUUUUUCGUUCGGUUAGUCAACAUCGGUUUUGAAUGUCAUAAAAUGACUGGAGGAAUGUAGCUUCGAUCUCGUAUUGAAGUGUUAUAGCCUUUGGUAGAUGUGAUGUUUGAGACCGAGGAUUGCAACGGAUACCCUUCAGGGCUAUUCGUCUGAUCUCUGAUACGUUGCCUUGAUGUUGAAAGCUUGCUUAUGAUGUUAGGGUAUUACGGUCAAAAGGUUAGAACGAAUUACA